rnacentral:misc_RNA from 1 species
GAAAUGCGAUAAGUAGUGUGAAUUGCAGAAUUCAGUGAAUCAUCGAAUCUUUGAACGCACAUUGCGCCCCUCGGUAUUCCGUGGGGCAUGCCUGUUCGAGCGUCAUCUACACCCUCAAGCUCUGCUUGGUGUUGGGCGUCUGUCCCGCCUCCGCACGCGGACUCGCCCCAAAUGCAUUGGCAGCGGUUCCUUGCCCCCCUCUUUGCGCAGCACAUUGCCAUUCGAGGCGGCGGCGGCCCGCGUCCAACAAGCUCAACCCCCCCGUCUUUGACCUCGGAUCAGGUAGGGAUACCCGCUGAACUUAAGC